rnacentral:rRNA from 1 species
GCGAAUGGAUUGAGAGCUUGCUCUCAAGAAGUUAGCGGCGGACGGGUGAGUAACACGUGGGUAACCUGCCCAUAAGACUGGGAUAACUCCGGGAAACCGGGGCUAAUACCGGAUAACAUUUUGAACUGCAUGGUUCGAAAUUGAAAGGCGGCUUCGGCUGUCACUUAUGGAUGGACCCGCGUCGCAUUAGCUAGUUGGUGAGGUAACGGCUCACCAAGGCAACGAUGCGUAGCCGACCUGAGAGGGUGAUCGGCCACACUGGGACUGAGACACGGCCCAGACUCCUACGGGAGGCAGCAGUAGGGAAUCUUCCGCAAUGGACGAAAGUCUGACGGAGCAACGCCGCGUGAGUGAUGAAGGCUUUCGGGUCGUAAAACUCUGUUGUUAGGGAAGAACAAGUGCUAGUUGAAUAAGCUGGCACCUUGACGGUACCUAACCAGAAAGCCACGGCUAACUACGUGCCAGCAGCCGCGGUAAUACGUAGGUGGCAAGCGUUAUCCGGAAUUAUUGGGCGUAAAGCGCGCGCAGGUGGUUUCUUAAGUCUGAUGUGAAAGCCCACGGCUCAACCGUGGAGGGUCAUUGGAAACUGGGAGACUUGAGUGCAGAAGAGGAAAGUGGAAUUCCAUGUGUAGCGGUGAAAUGCGUAGAGAUAUGGAGGAACACCAGUGGCGAAGGCGACUUUCUGGUCUGUAACUGACACUGAGGCGCGAAAGCGUGGGGAGCAAACAG